rnacentral:rRNA from 1 species
AACGUAGGAGGCGAGCGUUAUCCGGAUUUACUGGGUGUAAAGCGCGUGCAGGCGGUUAGAUAAGUUGGGUGUGAAAGCUCCUGGCUCAACUGGGAGAGGUCGCUCAAGACUGUCUGACUGGAGGAUGGUAGGGGAAGGCGGAAUUCCGGGUGUAGUGGUGAAAUGCGUAGAUAUCCGGAGGAACACCAGUGGCGAAAGCGGCCUUCUAGACCAUGACUGACGCUCAGACGCGAAAGCUAGGGUAGCAAACGGG